rnacentral:rRNA from 1 species
UACGUAGGGUGCAAGCGUUAUCCGGAAUUAUUUGGGCGUAAAGAGCUCGUAGGCGGUUUGUCGCGUCUGCCGUGAAAGUCCGGGGCUCAACUCCGGAUCCUGCGGUGGGUACGGGCAGACUUAGAGUGCAGUAGGGGAGACUGGAAUUCCUGGUGUAGCGGUGAAAAUGCGCAGAGUAUCAAGGAGGAACACCGAUGGCGAAGGCAGGUCUCGUGGGCUGUAAACUGACGCUUCAGGCCACGAAAGCGUGGGGAGCAAACAGGG